UACGAAGGGGCUAGCGUUGCUCGGAAUCACUGGGCGUAAAGCGCACGUAGGCGGAUUGCUAAGUCAGGGGUGAAAUCCUGGAGCUCAACUCCAGAACUGCCUUUGAUACUGGCGAUCUUGAGUCCGGGAGAGGUGAGUGGAACUGCGAGUGUAGAGGUGAAAUUCGUAGAUUAUUCGCAAGAACACCAGUGGCGAAGGCGGCUCACUGGCCCGGUACUGACGCUGAGUGCGAAAGCGUGGGAGCAACAGG
rnacentral:rRNA from 1 species